rnacentral:rRNA from 1 species
UUUGAAUCAUGGCUCAGGAUGAACGCUGGCGGCGUGCUUAACACAUGCAAGUCGAACGAUGAUCCGGUGCUUGCACCGGGGAUUAGUGGCGAACGGGUGAGUAACACGUGAGUAACCUGCCCUUAACUCUGGGAUAAGCCUGGGAAACUGGGUCUAAUACCGGAUAUGACUCCUCAUCGCAUGGUGGGGGGUGGAAAGCUUUUGUGGUUUUGGAUGGACUCGCGGCCUAUCAGCUUGUUGGUGAGGUAAUGGCUCACCAAGGCGACGACGGGUAGCCGGCCUGAGAGGGUGACCGGCCACACUGGGACUGAGACACGGCCCAGACUCCUACGGGAGGCAGCAGUGGGGAAUAUUGCACAAUGGGCGGAAGCCUGAUGCAGCGACGCCGCGUGAGGGAUGACGGCCUUCGGGUUGUAAACCUCUUUCAGUAGGGAAGAAGCGAGAGUGACGGUACCUGCAGAAGAAGCGCCGGCUAACUACGUGCCAGCAGCCGCGGUAAUACGUAGGGCGCAAGCGUUAUCCGGAAUUAUUGGGCGUAAAGAGCUCGUAGGCGGUUUGUCGCGUCUGCCGUGAAAGUCCGGGGCUCAACUCCGGAUCUGCGGUGGGUACGGGCAGACUAGAGUGANGUAGGGGAGACUGGAAUUCCUGGUGUAGCGGUGAANUGCGCAGAUAUCAGGAGGAACACCGAUGGCGAAGGCAGGUCUCUGGGCAUUAACUGAC